rnacentral:tRNA from 1 species
GUUGUUGCUCAGUGGUAGAGUGCUUGCCUGACAUGUGUGAGGUACUGGGUUUGAUCCUCAGCACCACA